rnacentral:lncRNA from 13 species
AUGGGGAGGGUCCUGGCAGCAGCAGGGUUAGCACCAUCCCAUUGGCACAUGCUACCUGCUGUGCCUGCAGUUCAAUCGGUCAUUCAUGUGCACAUUCAGCAGGUUCUGGCUGGCAGAAGUGAGGCAACAUGUGGGGCAAAGAUCACCCUCUCAAGGGCUUUGGAGUUGUUGGGGCUGGAUUUGAAUCCAUGCUCUGCAUUUCCCAGCAGAAUGAUCAAGGUUAAGCUCCCUAAUCAAUCUGUUACUCCUCCAGCAAAAUGGAGUUGUGAAGGGGUGCCUGGCACACAGGAGAUACUUAGAAUAUGUCAGGUUGAAUUUUUCUUUCCCUCUAGGCUCUCUUCUCUUGUCCACCACCAUGUGAGAUGUGCCUUUCACCUUCCACCCAGGCUGGAGUACAGGAGUGCGACCAUGAUUGUGAAGCCUCCCCAGAAACGCAUACAGAGCUGGUUCUUCAGAGAAGAAAUGGCUGAUUAUGGUGAUGAUGGUCUUGGAAAAAUUAAAAAGACAUGGCCUAAUAGAAAGUGAUGAUCCAGCAGACUUCCUGAGCCCCUCCCACUGCUCCACCCCGUCAGGUAAUAAAUACUAACAUAGAGCACA